rnacentral:rRNA from 1 species
UACGGAGGGUGCAAACGUUGCUCGGAAUCAUUGGGCGUAAAGCGCAUGUAGGCGGUCCAGCAAGUCGGGUGUGAAAGCCCUCGGCUUAACCGAGGAAGUGCAUUCGAAACUACUGGACUUGAGUACUGAAGAGGGUCGCGGAAUUCCCGGUGUAGAGGUGAAAUUCGUAGAUAUCGGGAGGAACACCAGUGGCGAAGGCGACUACCUGGCCUGUUCUUGACGCUGAGGCGCGAAAGCUAGGGGAGCAAACGGG